rnacentral:rRNA from 1 species
AGCAGUCGCCGCGGGAAAACGAAGGGGGCUAGCGUUGCUCGGAAUGACUGGGCGUAAAGGGCGCGUAGGCGGAUGGUACAGUCAGAUGUGAAAUUCCUGGGCUUAACCUGGGGGCUGCAUUUGAUACGUAUUGUCUAGAGUGAGGAAGAGGGUCGUGGAAUUCCCAGUGUAGAGGUGAAAUUCGUAGAUAUGGGGAAGAACACCGGUGGCGAAGGCGGCGACCUGGUCCUUGACUGACGCUGAGGCGCGAAAGCGUGGGGAGCAAACAGGAUUAGAUACCCCCGUAGUCCCUGUCUCUUAUAC